GCCUCGAUGGUGUAGUGGUUAUCACGCCCGACUUGUAACCAGGGAGACGUAAGUUCGAUUCCUGCUCGGGACA